rnacentral:rRNA from 1 species
GGAUCCAGACUUUGAUUCUGGCUCAGGAUGAACGCUAGCUACAGGCUUAACACAUGCAAGUCGAGGGGAAACGACAUCGAAAGCUUGCUUUUGAUGGGUGUCGACCGGCGCACGGGUGAGUAACGCGUAUCCAACCUGCCCAUCACUUGGGAAUAACCUUGCGAGAGUAAGACUAAUACCCAAUGAUAUCCCACGAAGGCAUCCGAAUGGGAUUAAAGAUUUAUCGGUGAUGGAUGGGGAUGCGUCUGAUUAGCUUGUUGGCGGGGUAACGGCCCACCAAGGCAACGAUCAGUAGGGGUUCUGAGAGGAAGGUCCCCCACAUUGGAACUGAGACACGGUCCAAACUCCUACGGGAGGCAGCAGUGAGGAAUAUCGGUCAAUGGGCGAGAGCCUGAACCAGCCAAGUAGCGUGCAGGAAGACGGCCCUAUGGGUUGUAAACUGCUUUUAAAGGGGAUAAAGUGAGUCUCGUGAGACUUUUUGCAUGUACCUUAUGAAUAAGGACCGGUUAAUUCCGUGCCAGCAGCCGCGGUAAUACGGAAGGUCCGGGCGUUAUCCGGAUUUAUUGGGUUUAAAGGGAGCGUAGGCCGGAGAUUAAGCGUGUUGUGAAAUGUAGAGGCUCAACCUCUGCACUGCAGCGCGAACUGGUCUUCUUGAGUACGCACAACGUGGGCGGAAUUCGUGGUGCAGCGGUGAAAUGCUUAGAUAUCACGAAGAACUCCGAUUGCGAAGGCAGCUCACGGGAGCGCAACUGACGCUGAAGCUCGAAAGUGCGGGUAUCGAACAGGAUUAGAUACCCUGGUAGUCCGCACGGUAAACGAUGGAUGCCCGCUGUUGGCCUGAAUAGGUCAGCGGCCAAGCGAAAGCAUUAAGCAUCCCACCUGGGGAGUACGCCGGCAACGGUGCAACUCAAAGGAAUUGACGG